GUUGGUGGUGUGAAUUGUCUGGUUAAUUCCGUUAACGAGCGAGACCUUCACUGUUAAAUAGUAACGUCAAGAUAUUGUAUCAAGGCUAGCAGGCUUUACUUUGAGAAGGGUCCGUCCCCUCAUUGUAAUUGUUCGGUUAGUUGCACUUCUUGAUGGAUUUACUUCUUAGCGGGACUUUGCGUGACAAGCGCAAGGAAGUUGAAGGCUAAAACAGGU
rnacentral:rRNA from 1 species